GAUCAUGGCUCAGGACGAACGCUGGCGGCGUGCUUAACACAUGCAAGUCGAACGGACAGACAGAGAGCUUGCUCUCUUGAAGUUAGUGGCGAACGGGUGAGUAACGCGUAAUCAACCUGCCCUUCAGAGGGGGAUAACAACGGGAAACCGUUGCUAAUACCGCGUACGAUUCAUAAGCGGCAUCGCUUGUGAAUGAAAGGUGGCCUCUAUGUAUAAGCUAUCGCUGAAGGAGGGGA
rnacentral:rRNA from 1 species